rnacentral:rRNA from 2 species
GUGCGAGACCGAUAGCGAACAAGUACCGUGAGGGAAAGAUGAAAAGAACUUUGAAAAGAGAGUUAAAGAGUACCUGAAACUGCUGAAAGGGAAGCGAAUCGUAUCCAGUGUCUAUAAUCUGCGGCAUAUUUCAUCGGCGGCGGUGCGCGUGCUUUUGCGUCGGAAGCGGCCUUUGUUGCUCUGUGCUUUUGCUGUGCGUGGUGUUGCUGGUGCCCUGUGUUGCGGUGGGACGUCAGAGUCAGUUUGUAUGCUGCGGGAAAUGGCUGCCGAGGAGGUAGGUCGAGAUUUCGGUCUUGGCUGUUAUAUCUUGGUGGUUUGUUGUCGUGGUUGAGACUGAGGUGCCUACAACGUGCUUUUGAGUGUACCGGGUUCUCAUUUGGUGGACUGUUUGGAUAGCUUGCUAUGCUUGUGGUUUUUUCAUCGGGUGAUUGAGUCUGGUGGUAACUUGUUGCUGUUCGGGACUUUGA